CAUGAGCCGUUUGCAAACAGGGGAAUUUUCAUUUUGCUCCGGUUUAUCAGGGGGAUUUAAAACAGGGAUAAAUGCAGAAGAUCCUGGAGGUCAAUGGUAAACUUCUUAUGCAAAUACAAACAGAGAAAAGUGCACAAGCUACAUGUGUACAUCUCAAUGAAUCUUCAGACUGACCAAACUUGGAUAAUCAUCCCCACAUCAAGAAACAGAACACUGCCAGCCCAUUCAAAGCCCCACCGUGUGCCCUCAAGUCACUUCUUCUACAAAGGAGAGUUCUCAUUGAGGAACUUCAGAUCUUAUUACCAUGGUUUUCAUAUUUUAAGGGAAAACAAAAAGAAAAUAUGCACACCAAGAGGCAAUGUGUGUGUGUAUGUGCAUGCAUGUGCCUUGCAUCCAAAUGUCUGAUGCGUCUCUGAUCUUAUAACUUACACUUGGUGACUCAUGCCUUGACUCCUGCCUUCAUCUCACAGACACGAAUGUCAUUAGAAACAUGGCCAGUUGUUUUGCUGAAGUCCAGAUGCCCGAAUGGAAAUGUGUGCUACGUUGUCUUCAUCUGCCAGUACCACCUCCCCCCACCCCUCCCGCUGAGGAAUGGUAAUGGGCUGAACUAACAGGACUUGUUCUUGUGAACCCAUGCUGGGUCCUAUAAUCACUUCUUUGUCAUUUGGCGCCUAUUAUAAGGUUGCUUUUGUAACACAUUCUAGACUCUUGUCUGAGAUCCAUAUCAAGCUCAUCCAGCCGUAGAUUACAGAAUCCAUUUUCUAUCCAUUUUAGAAAAUUGCAAAGAUAUUUACUCAUUUCUAGCCUUCUAAGUCUCUGAACUUCUUCCCAACAGCAUGCCUAUCUUGUCCCUAAGCAACCAGUCCCAAACAUAGCUGAAAGGUGUUUUGAUUUUGUUUUUGCCUUUGUGUUUCUUUACCAGCCUUAGGUCAUUUUAAUAAUAUUCUGUCUGUGUCACUUUCUUACACAUUACUUUGGUUUGCUUCCUUCUUCCCAUCUGGUCCUUUAAAAACCUGAGCUUCCAAAACAGUGCAUACUGGAAUCUGCCAUGGAGAUUUAAAAAAAAAUACUUAUACUGAUUUUCUAGACACAUUGAAUCAAAAUUUGAAGGGGUGAUUUGUAUUUUUUAAGAAGUUUCCCAGGAGAUUCCAAUAAAUGGUCAAAGU